rnacentral:misc_RNA from 1 species
GAUGAAGAACGUAGCGAAAUGCGAUAAGUAAUGUGAAUUGCAGAGUUCAGUGAAUCAUCGAAUCUUUGAACGCACAUUGCGCCCGUCAGUAUUCUGACGGGCGUGCCUGUCCGAGCGUCAUUUCAACCCUCAAGCACUGCUUGGCGUUGGCGGAUUGCGUGCCCUCGCGGCGCUGCAACCGCCCAAAUACAGUGGCGGUCCCGCUGCGGCUCCCUUUGCGUAGUAACUCACCUCGCACUGGACCGGGCGGCGGCCUGCCGUAAAACCCCAACUCACGAAAUGUUGACCUCGGAUCAGGUAGGAAUACCCGCUGAACUUAAGCAUAUCAAUAAGCGGAGGA